UUAUUAUUAUUUUUUUAUUAAUCUUAAUUAUUUUAAUAUAUUUUUAUUUUGACUAAUUUAGUAUAUCUUUAUUGUAUUAUGAGUAAAAUAAAAUAUACUGCUCUAGCUACAGCGAAAAAGUUUUAUCUUUCUGUUCUACCUUCUUUUUCUAAAUAUACUCACUACGGAAAUAAAUAUUAUUCAAAAAUAUUAAUGGAUAAUAUUAAAAUUUAUAUUAAUAGUUCUAAUAAUUGACUAUUGUAUCGACUUCCUGUUGCAACAUGCGAGACUUCGUUUAACUUUUUUUUCUAAAUAUACUCACUACGAAAAUAAAUAUUAUUCAAAAAUAUUAAUGAAUAAUAUUAAAAAUAAUAUUAAUAGUUCUAAUAAUUAACUAUUGUAUCGACUUCCCGCCGCAACGCGCGGGGUUCCGUAACUAGUGAAUAGAUAAAAGAUAGUCAAAAAAUGAUCCAAAAUGAUAUGUAUUGCGAAAAAUAAGUUGAAUAAGAAUUAUUAAAAUAUAUUUAGGUGUUUGGAUCAAAGAUUGGUUUGAUAGAUUUGAUGGUGUGCCUCUUUUGAAUUUUUGUGAUAUGUAACAAUACCUGCAUACAAAAAAAUUUUAAUUUCAAAUGCUAAUAUCUUUCAAAUUUAGAUAAUAUGUUUUAAAUUUAUCUGUCCAAUUAAAUUUGGAUUCGAAAGAUAUUAAUCAAGGUGCGCACAAAGGGAGCGAGGGUGUCCGUGCACCAGGUGUAGGCAAGGGGUAAAGUUGGAAUAUAAAUAUUAUUAACUUUAAUAUUAAUGGAUAUUUGAUAGCAUGGUUAAUUUUGAAAGUUUUUUAAAUUUGAGAGGAUAUACAUGAUAUUUUAAAUUUUAAAGGAGUAUUUAUGAAAUUAGAUGUUUUUAAAAGGUAUUGAGAAAAAUUUUCCUUUAAAGUCGUACCACUUACGUGAUUUUGAUGGAGGAGGACCUAUUAAUCUAGUUGAUAAAAUUUUAAAAUGUCUAAUUACAAACAUAUUAAAUAUUUACUUUUGGUUAGUUUUUAAUAUUUUAACCCCUCUUGUAUUAUACUAUUAUUAUUUUUUAAAAGACAAAAUUUGUGAUGGCAAAAUUGAAAAAAUAAACAGUUUUUUAAUGGUUCUCUAAUAAUAUAUAUUUAAAAAUAUUAAAAUUUUUGUAGGAAUAAUAUAUAAAAAUUGAGCUUUAUAAGAGUAUAUUUGUGAUUUACUAUGUUUACAAUAAUCUAUAUGAAAUAACCCGAUUUCAAAUAUCUAAUUACAAAAAUAAAAAUCUCAGUAGCUGCUUUGCAAAGUUGCUAAAUUUAGGGUCCUUGUACAUAUUUCCCACAAUAAAAGUUGAUGUCUUAUUUUACAAAGAAGCUAUAGGAGGGUUUUUCAUGCAUUUUUACCUCCCUUUUCAAUUCUGUUCUCCGGGUUGAAGAAGCGACGGCUCACUCCACCAUCCAGGGUUUGAUUCGAGAGCUUUGCGGAGGCGAAGAAGAAGAAGAGAGAAAGUAGCCAUGGCGAUGGCCGCUUUGAGAAGGGAGGGGAGGCGCCUCCUCCUCUCUCCGAUCGCCUCCAAUCCUUCCCCUGCCGGGCGAUCCGCGAUGUUGAUCUCACCCGAGUAAGGUCCCCCAUCCUUCGAUCGAUAGUAUUGGGGUUUCAUGAUUUGACCCAAAUACCAGUUCUAGAGUUUCUGAGAAUUAGAUUUUGAUAUAGGUCCGCGGUAGAUUUGUAGAUCGGCCGUUGAAAUGGAAUUCUACAUUGGUUCUGUUUAAUUCCUUUCGUAGAUUUAAAAUCCAUUUUUUUAUAUCUUCCUUGUUUGUUUUUAUUCCUUCGAAGUAGAUUCAUUUGAAUGCCACUCGAAAUGAGAAUCGUGUGAUGAAUUCGAGUGUUUUAGAGACUAAUUUUUAGAAAUUUAUGGCAUUUUUAGGGGUAAGAUGAAAAUGUUGUGGAUCCUCUACUGUAGAAGUUAAACUAUGGAGUGGAGUUUGUUCUUUGUGCGAAAAAAGAAAAAAAAAAAAAAACUCAAGAUGUAUGGAAUGGUGUAUAUGUUUUAAUUUUUUGGAGAAAAUAAGAUCGGGUGGUGUUUGGGUUAAAAUAUGUUUGUUAGUAUUACUUUGGAUACAUGCAUUACAAGUUAUUUGCUAUACAUUACUAACGAUUGUAGUAAAUUAAUGAAGCAAGUUAUAAUAUUUGGUCUCAUUUUUAUAUAUGGAAAUGUUGUGCCAUUCUUUGUUAGUGCCAUAUCAUUUGGAGUAGUUUGUGAUUUAUCUUUCUUCUUUGUUGAGUUUUUUACUAUUGAGCACUCGUAUAUCUAAGGAGAAUUGUGAUUUGUGUAAUGCUUCUAUGUUUUUUUAUAUAGAAGAUAAGGUUGGGUAGUUGUUGGCUUUUAAGUAUGUCAAAGAGCGUUAUACAGAAAAGUGGAUUAUAGGUUAUCUAAUCAGUGCAUUUAGCAUGAAUAUGUAGCCAUCACCGCGUUUUGGUUGUUUGCGGUGGAUAUAUAGGAACAAAGAAGGAUCUGGAAUAUCUAUUUUGCAUAUCUUCCCCCCUCAUUUUUUUCAUGAUCGAUGCUUCUAAUGGUUGUGGUGCUUGGUGUUCUUUUAAUCGUGUCAUUCUUCACUUCAUUUUUGCUUAUUUGUUCCAUUCUCUCCUAUAGGAAAUAAGCAUCUCCAAACUCAACCGAGAUAUUUGUUUUGUUUUAUAUAGCAUAUGAAAUCCCUUUUCUACUUUUGUAUCUAUGCUAUUUCAUAGAGUACUAACCGAAUCUUGAAUUAGCAGACAAUCCGCUCCCAUUGGGUUGCGAUCAAUUUCAACUCAAGUUGGUAAUAGACCUUCAUCCCUUACCUACUGUGUUCUUUCUGUAUUAAAGCCACUUUUGAUUGGGCUUUUUGCAUAUAACUCCAGCAAAUUUCUGAAUUUGUGGAAAUACCCCUGUAAAAGUGUGGAAUUUGUAUCCCUUGAAAAUUUUGCUUAUUUGGAUACCCGUUGCAUGGGCAUAUGUGCAAAACCAGUUUUUGUGUAGUUACCCUUGUAGGAACAUGAAAGCAAAUGAAAACAAUUUUCAGGCUCGCCUGCAAAUACUUCUUUGCAAGGGUAUUUGUGCAGUUGCAUAUUUGCUGAGUUAUAUAUGCAAAGAAUUUCAUUUGAUUACGUUAAUGUGAUUGGGCCUGUUUUUCUUACAUAUAUAAUGCAGUGAGAAAUCGAAUGAAGAGUGUUAAGAACAUUCAGAAGAUCACAAAGGCAAUGAAAAUGGUUGCAGCAUCAAAGCUGCGAGCCGUUCAAGUAAGAACUGAGAAUUCACGUGGCCUCUGGCAGCCCUUUACCGCACUUCUUGGCGAUACUCCUAGUAUGUAUUUAGCCAUUACUUGUUUUUCCCUAGUCCUAUGAUACUUCUAGAAGCAGUGAUCUGUGUUCUCCAUUUCAGACUAAUAUGCCACUCUAUAUGAUGAGUGAUGCAAACAUUACAUAUAUCAGGGUACUACUACAUUGACUAGUCAGGACUAUUAGGGAGAUCAUUUGAAUAGCUAGUUCUUAAAUAUUUUCCACAGAAAUUGGCAACAGAGAGACAGAUUCAGUGUCAUUCACAAUAAUGACUGUAUUAAGUAUACAACAGGUAUGCAAUUGAUAGAGAGUGAGAUAUGGAGAAGCUGAGUAGGUAAGCGUGUACUUACAGGAUGAUCCAAACAAUAGAAUAACGAAAAUUAAGGAUGUCUGUCAGCUUGUCAACUAGAUUUGUUUAAAGAUGGAAAAGGAACUAGAAGAUUAUUAACUAACUAAAUAUACAUGAAGUUGUAAUUGGCAAAAUUCAUUGCCAAAUUUAAUUUUCUGUUUGUUAGACUGCAAGAGAGGUAAAUGUAUUAAAUGUUGUUCUUAUAAGUGUUGCAUAUAUUUAAUACUUGGGGGCUUAUGGAUUUAUCAUAUGGGUUUUCUAAUGCGUGCAUCCUGCAGUAAGAAGCAUGUUUAUCCAAUUCUUCUGAGUCACUUUCAGCAAAGCUCAAAGGUCUGGAUAUGUUAUAUGAAGUUUACGCUAAGUAGAUGCAUUAGUUAGACAGGAUCCAUUUUCAGAUAUAGUUGGAUUAGCAGAGGGCUCUUUUGAUGUUAAGUUGAGUUAAAUUUGGCUUUUGAAUAUAGUCAAAAUGAUCAAUUAGAUUCCUACUUUGGCAGUUAUUUGGUAUAAAAGAUUGAAUCUAUGUAUGGCUGAGAAAUUUGUGUAUUAAAGAUUUUAUGGCUGAAAACUGUUUCUUUGAAAGAGUAAGUGAGAAAUAUUUGUAGUGAAAUUCUAGUAGUAUUUCUGCCUGAAAAUUUAUGAUUUGAGGGAAUAUUUUCUGCUGCAAUGCGAAUCUAUAGAAUUCUUUAUUUAUCCAUUUUAGUUAUAAGGGUUUGGCUCCAUAAAUCAGCAGAAAUCUUUGCACUUGCAACCAAGAAGCAAUUAAUUUCACUUUAGAAGAAUCAGUGAAUUCGUUAAAUAAUUAGUCUUUUUUUUCUUGUUUGCCGCGGGCGUCCAGGGUGAGCAAGUAGCUUUUUCUGAAGAUAUAGGAGAUCAUUUUGAUGUGUUUACUUUAUCCUACUCUGUUGUUAGUUAAAAAUAGUAAGAAAGCGUGUAUUCGGGUUAUUGACAAAUUAUGACUAAUCUCAAGAAUGUACUCUAAUCAAAUCCGACCUCAAAUUAUCGAUUCAAUUAAAUUAUGAGAAAUCCCAACGACUAAUCCCAAAUCAAUUAAAUCCCGUUAAUCAAAUAUUUUACAUCCCUCUACUGGAGAAAACCUCCUGACACGUACAUUAACUUCUUGAUGAUGAUGAUGAUGUUAGCUUAGGCACUAAAAUCACCAACCUUUAAAGUUAUUCUUGCCUUCUUGGUGCAAACCUGUAAAUUUCUACUAAUACGACCAUACAUUGCCCAUGGUAGUCGUCAUUGCUAGAUUUAUGUUAUUAGAUUUCUUUAACUAGACUCGGUUGGAAGUAGUAGGGAAAUUCUCUCAUCUAUUACUGCUUGAUUGCCUCUUGGAACAGAUGAUACGAGUGGAAUCCCGCCUCAUCUUCUCGAUAUAAGUGUUUAUUCAGAUAGAUGAAGAUCACUCAUUCUAGACAUGCCUUGCUUUUAUGUGUUAAACUAGCUUUAAUCACGUACAAUGCACGGAACAAUAAUUAAUUUCAGUUAUAUAAAUACAAAUUAAUUCUACGAUUUAGAUUUUUAUUUUGAUAGACAUAAUCAAGAGAUUAAUAACUAUGUUGCAGUUUAUAAUAUGUAUAGUCUAUAAUGUAGAAAGGAGAGAUAGAUAAGAAGCAUUCUUGUAAAUUCAAUGUACUAUUUGUUUAAAUAAGAGUUCGUAUAUUUAUUGCUAUUUUAAAAUAAUAUCAUAACAAUAUGUUAAUAACUACCUAACAUUUAAAUCAGUAAACUUAUCCAUCUGCGAAGGGAAUAGCCAUUCGUGGAGGGGUACUAACAAAAAACUAAGUGAAAAGGUACAUCUCUUUACAAAUCACGAAGGGGUAUUAACAAAAAAACCAAAGCUAAAAGUCACAUCCCUAUAUAAAUUCUUUUUAUUUUCUCAUCAAAAUGUACAUUUUUUUUAAAUAGAGGGAUGACGUGGCUUCACGUAUGGCCUCAAAAUUCUCCAAUUUUUAUAUAUUAUGUUUGAUUCUCUUGACAUGUAGUUCUGUUUCUCCUCCUUUUCAUCUAGAUUGUUAAUGCCUUGGUUGGUACUUUUGCUAUGUGUUAUGUGUAACAAACUUCUCUCUGUGUCAACGCAUGUCACUUCCAGGUGUUGAUGUGAAGAAGAAUGUUAUUGUGACUAUCACCUCCGACAAGGGUCUUUGUGGUGGCAUCAAUUCAACAUCGGUUAAAGUCAGCAAGUCUCUUUUCAAGGUCACCUCUGGUAAAUCCACUCAAUCUGAUCAACUGUUGGUUAUACCUUCAUUACCGUGAUGAUGCAAAUUAGAUUUUAUGGCACCGUUUGUGGCCAUUAGGUCCAGAAAAGGAGACCAAGUAUGUCAUAUUGGGAGAAAAGGGCAAGGUUCAAUUGAUUCGUGAUUCUAAAGGCUCCAUUGAGAUGACUGUAACGGAGCUCCAAAAGAACCCUGUCAAUUACACACAGGUAUCUCACAUUUGUUAUUGCUAAACUUUUAUUUCAAAGAGUACUGGGUUAUUUCUUCUUUGUCACAGGAUUUAGUAGAACCUCUAUAACAUGCUUGUUGUUAUGUUCAGUCAUGGUUGCAUGGAAAGUUUGUUUUGCUUUAUUCUUUUAGUAAUAGGGAUUUACUUGAUGUAUUUCCAAUUUAAAAUCUUUUUAUUAUUAAGGUUUUCUUUGAGUUUCUUGAUUAGUUUUUUUUUUUUUUUUUUCUUUGUUCAGAUUUCUGUACUGGCUGAUGACAUCUUAAAGAAUGUUGAGUUUGAUGCAUUGAGGAUUGUUUUCAACAAGUUCCAUUCUGUUGUCGCCUUUAUCCCCACUGUCUCCACAGUAUUGUCACCUGAGGUGAUUUGAGUUUUUUUUUUUACCCUUCAUCCUACUUUAAUAUUUCUCUACAGUUCCCCCACCACCACAACCCCCACAGGUAGGGAUAAUAAAUUGAUAAUUACUUUGAGAGCUGUUGUAUUUUCUGGUUCUGUACAGGUUGUGGAGAGAGAAUCAGAAGCUGGUGGGAAGCUGGGCGAUUUGGAUUCCUAUGAAAUUGAAGGGGGUGAGACCAAAUCAGAAGUGCUGCAGAAUCUUGCUGAGUUUCAGUUUUCUUGUGUAAGUCUCGUACAUUUGCUGAGGCAUUCUUUAUAUUACUUAUUAUCUAUCAUAGAUCCCUGCAACAUUUGAAUCUUCAUAUAUGCUGUUCAAAAACUUAAUUUCUUAUAAAUAUAUCCUUGUAUUUACCAAAAGUGCCUCAUUGAAUUUCUGUUUGACGAUAUAGAACCAACUUGCGAUCCCCCACCCCCCCAAAAGUGAAUUUGAUAUUUUCAGAGCUUAAGAUGAGGUAUUUCUGCAGAAGAUAAAGUUUAGAAAAAACACUGGACCCCCAACUAAUUUGAUUUUUUUUUUUUUUUGUGGUCCUGUCGCCAUUAUUUGUCCUUAAAACACUUCUUGAUUUUUUAGGUUCUCUAUAAUGCGGCCUUGGAGAAUGCAUGUAGUGAGCUUGGAGCACGAAUGUCUGCCAUGGACAGCUCCAGCAGAAAUGCUGGUGAAAUGCUUGAUCGUCUUACCCUUUCUUAUAACAGGUCUCUCUCUCUCUCUCUCUCUCUCUCUCUCUCUCUCGCGCACGCGCGCGCGCGUGAGAAUGCUUGCGUGUGUGUCCUCACACAAACACACGCAAGAACACACGGCGGAAUGCACAUGGGCAAUUUAUAUGCAGGUUCUUGAGGGACUUUUUGAAACUGUCUGAAUUGCUAGGGACCUUUGUAUAAUUUUUUGAUAUGUAAUGUAGUUUUUGGCGGAAAUCCUUUAGAAAAUUACGGCACUGGAGUGGUUUUACUCUUUUGCAUUUUCAGAUGAACCUUGAUAUUUGGAUGUUCCAUCUUCAAAACACUCACCCGCAUGAUGUGUAUUAAGAUGCAUGCUCAUCGGGCCCGCACAUGAAUUGGGAAUUUAGGAUGUGCAUCUGACACGGAAAAAAGUGGAAGCACGAGCUCGUAGAUGUUUCUUUGAGCUUUUUAGCUCAACUCUAUUUUACGAAUGAAUAUAUUCGUAAAUGCACGGUUACAUUUUUGUUUUACAGAUUAUGGAUACUGUGUGUAACUGAUGUUUGUUUCUCUGUGUAAUUCUGUUUUUAAAGGACCCGCCAAGCGUCAAUCACGACGGAGCUGAUUGAGAUCAUAUCAGGAGCAUCUGCACUCACGGGAUAAGCCCUCGGUCGAAUAUCUUGCUUGCUUUCACACCGUGGAAACGAACACUUCUUCUCCUCCUUGGACAUCUGUUUGUGCUUUAUUUUGCCAAUAAACAUUGUGAUGAUGCACAUCAUUGGUGCUUUGCAUGGAACACAUCAUAGCUUAUUUUAUUUUUCUUUGUGUUUUUCUUCUCCAUUGUUCCCAAGAAAUGUCGCAUAAUUCGGAAGAAUGUGUGAGCUUAAUAUAAGACGGCACUGUACCCAAACACUUUGACAGAUGGUAGACACUCAGCUGCCUGAUGUAAAACUGGAAGAUUUUAUUAAGUAAAUUUCUUUUUGAAGUUCUCCAUUUUCUCUCAGAUUAUACCCUUUUAUAAGUUACCAUUACUGUAAAUUUAUUUAGUAAAGCUUCUUCAAAUCUUUACUUAAACAUCAAUUCUAUUUGAGAUGUCUUUCGGCCAGAUCGAACAGACGCGGAUUGUGUUUGCUGCGGUGCAGUUUCAGACUUUCUGACAAGCAGGUAAUGUUUACAGCAACUCCAUUGAACUAUUUUCUGCAGCAGAUGUGCGUGCUAGAUAUGAAAGAUAGGCUCUUGUCUGGCCCGGCUGGGUGUUCCAAUAUGCGCGGGCUGCGAAAGCUUCAACACAAGUUGCUAUUUUUUGCGGUGGUUAGCUGUCCUGGAGAGGAAAAGCAGUGACCAAACAGGCUGCCUUUUGUGGUGGCGCUGUGGUGCGUUGCAUCGAGCUUCAAUUGGGUCACUGCUCUUUCCAUUUUUCGGCAAUCGUGUAUCCUCGUGAGUUAUUUCAAUUGGGUCCUCUCCAUCUGUACUCAUAUUACAAUCGACAGAACUUCAACACAUGGCUGCCAACAUAGCGCUGAAUUAGCGAAGUUGUGGGGAGAAGAUUUUUGCUUGAGAUGUACAUGUCCGGUUAGCAAAUGAGCAAGGAAGCUCAAUUAUACGUCAUUUUGAAAAGUUACUUCAACUGUUUGAAUAAAGCAUAGGCACGCCUUCUGCAUACGGUGCUUAAUGGGUCUCCUAUUAGGUCAAAUGGGCUUAAAAUAUGAUAAACUUCGAUUUGCCCCCCUCGUGGUUUAGCUCACAUGUUCAAUUUUGCCAUCCUAUGGAUUAAAGGGUGCGUUUGGUUCGCAUUAUGAAAGAUUAUUAGGAAUAAAAAGAUGUUCGAGAAUCUUAUUUCUAUUCAUCCUAUUACUAAGAAUGUGGAAUUCUUGUGUUUGGUUCGUACGGUCAUAUUAUUUAAUCAUAUUAUUUAAAAUUACAAAAAAUAUACAAUUAAUUAAUUUAUUUUUUUAAUUAAUUUUAGAUAAUGUUACCAAAAAUUUCAACAUCUUUUUAGAAAAAAAUGGAGAGAGAGCAUAGGUUAAAGAGAGAGAGCAUAAUUAAAAAAAUAAAAAGAGAAAUAGAGUCAAAAUUAGAGAGAGUGAGAGAGUUUAGAUUUUAGAAAAAGAGGGAGAGAAAAAGCUUAGUUUAGAGAGAGAAAAAAAAUUGAAUUUUAGAGAGAGAUAAGUUUAGAGAGAGAUAUGAGGUUAGAGUGUAAAGAAAAAUAAUACCAAUUAGCCGGCGGGUAGGGAUAAAGAAAAAUAUUAGACAUAUUAUAAUUAUCCCAAUUCAUUAAUAUGAGGAUACCCACCUCCCUCAAGGAAAUGGGAUUAGUACUUUGGGAUGAAUCUUAUUCCCAAGUAAAUCUAAUAUUACCAACUAGAUUAUUUAGUGCGUUUAGUCAAAUACCGUCAUUUUUUUUUUAUUCCUAUUGGAUAACUAGGAAUCUUUAAAAGAUAGCACGAACCAAACGCACCCAAAAAGUUAAACUUAACUAUCCCUAACUAUUUUACGGUUCAGUUCAUUUUCACUUUGUUGCCUUGUGAUUUAAAAAGUUACUUUUAACUAUCCGGUAGUUUAGCACAUUUCACUUUGCUACCCCGUAAUUCUUUUUGAAAAGUUUUACUUUACAAUUGUACUUGACAUAAAACUUUUUGAUUAAAUUAAAAAAAUUAUAAAAUAUUUAAGUGUAAUUUUUUGAACCACGGGACGACGAUGAAGUGAAAGUAAGUUACACCUGAGGGCAAUUUACAAAAGUGGACUCGCACACCCCUCUAUAUUUCUAAUACCUUAUAAAAAUAUCCCUUAGGAGACAUUUUCUUUUGAACUAGGCUGGAAUACUAUUAAUAGUACCAAUGACUUUGUGUUAUUAAGUUUUCUGUCCUUAAAUUAAAAGAUGUGUGGUUAUGAUGAUGUGGGCCCUCUAGUGUUGAGUGAGUGGUUAGUUGAAUAGUGUAAUUGAACGAAUGGAAAUGAUAAAAGAGAAUGGAAAUGAUAAAAGAGGUAAAUCUAACGGCAGAAAACUUGAUAAUACCAAAUACUUCGUGUUAUCGAUAGUAUCACAGCCGGACUCUUUCCUUUUUUAUAUUUUCUUUACUUUUCCUUCUGCGGUCUCUUCUCUUGUUUUCUUUUCUUCAUUUAGAAAAGCACUUUAUUUUUCUUUUCAAUCUGGCCUAUUAUUUUACUUCUUUCAAAGCCUUAGCAUUUCGAGUAUCGUAUAUAUUUUUUUUUUAUUUGAGAAAAAAGUAGUAUGCGAUUUGCUUCAUUUAUUUUUUUAAAAAUAAAUUUAGCUGGAAAUGUGAAUCAAUUAUGAUUCUAACUUGGGAUCUCGGAUACUAAUCAUCAAAUUUUUUGCCACUUGCACUUGAGAUCUCGAAUAUCACAUAAUUUUUCUAAUAGCAAAUAAGUUAAAUUGUCUUGAAUUUUUUUUCCUCAAUGCGUAAUAAUUUGGAAUCUAAUGGAAAAGAGAGAUUGUAAUUUGGUAGGAGAUGAUAUUCUAAUUUGGUAUUAUUAUUUUUGAUUAGGGGGUGUUUGGUUUCUGUAAAAGUACACCGAAAAUUAAUUUUUAGUUGAAAAUAUUUUUUUCUGAUGUUUGGUUCUCUGUAAAAAAAGUUUCUCGAAAAACCCUUUUUACGAAUACGCGGAAAAAUUUGGGGUUUUGUUUUCCGCUCUAUUAUCGCAGAAAACGAAAAGCUACAGCAAAAGUGGCAGGGCUCAUAGGCCUCUUUGCACGCGGUCCACGAGGUGGGCUUCAUCUCAUGGACCGCCUGAGAGAGAGAGAGAGAGCAGUGGACCACCUACAGUAAAAUGGCGGGGCUCAUAUGUGCCUUUUUGCAUACGGUCCACGAGGUGGGCUUCACCUCGUGGACCGUCUGAGGGAGGAGGAAUUCUACACUGUCACACUUGCACCACGUCAUCAAUAACAAGCCAAUCACAUUCCUUCUUUUCAAACAAAAGUACAAUAAAAAUACUUUUUUACAAUUAUGAUGGGACAUAUAUUCUUAAAAUAAAGGAUUAAUUUGAUUGAUUUGUUACGCCACGUCACUAAUAUACCCGUUGCAUUCUAGAAUUUUUCGUGAGGGAGGGAGUAGUGAACCUCUCUCUCCCUCUUUAAUUUUAUAUAUAUAUAUAUAUAUAUAUAUAAUAUAUAUAUAUAUAUUAUAUAUAUAUAUAUAUAUAUAUAUAUUAUAAUAUUAUUAUAUAUAUAUAUAUAUAUAAAAGUUUUAUUUUAUUUUUAUAUAGAGAUAUUAUUAUAUAAUAAUUUUUUAUAAAUUUAUAAUUAUUUAUUAAUAUCCCUAUAUAUAUAACUCUUAUAUAAAUUAUGUAAUAUGUUUAUUAUAAUUUUAAAUAUAUUUAAUCUAUAAAUAUAAAUUAUAAUAUAUAGUACAGUAAUUGUUAUAUAUUAAUAAUAUAUAUUAAAAAAUAUAUUAAAUAGUUUUUUAUUUAUUUUUCUUUUUCUUUCAACCAAAUAACCAGCAUGGAAAACUAAUUUUCUUUUCCUACAAACCAAACAUAAAUAAUGUAAAAUAUUUUUUCCACCGAAAUUUUUUUUUUCAUAGUUUUACGCGGAACCAAACACACCCUUAGUCCGAUUGGAAGCUAAAAAAAAUUCAAAAAUUAAUAAAAAUAUAUUUAGAAGAAUAUUUUUUUAAGAUAUUAAAAGUUUAGAUAAAUAUAUAAAUUGAUAUAAAUUUUAGAGGAUAUAUAAUUGUUGGGUGCCGAAUUUCCUCCCCUUUGACUCGGUCAAAGAUCUUCUUUGGGCAGCCAGGGACGAAGCCAGAAUUCAAAUCGUAGAGGGGCCAAAAGCUAUAUAAUUAUAAUAACUCAAAACUAAAAUUGAAUUUGUUAACUAUAUUUUAUGCCAUUCAAAGUACAUGUAUAUCAACAAUUAUAAUUUUUAGAUAUCUACAUUUUAUAGUGUAAUAUAUAUAAUAUAGUAUAUAUAUAUAUAUAUAUAUAUAAGGGCUACUAUACUCUUAUGAGUAUAGAACUCUUAUUACUCAUAAGUUGUUUUCGAUGUUGAAGUUUUCGAAUCGACGAUUCACGUUAAACAUGAUCUAGAGUAUUUGAAACUUCUAGAAAAUAAAUUUUAUAAAUUUUUGAAAUUAUUAUAAAGUCUAUCAAGCGAGUAUAAAAUGAACAGUUAAAAUCGAAUGACAUCCUAAAAAUGGAUGAUCGGAUUAUUAAAUUUAAGAUCGGAGUUAUUGAUCUUUAUUUAGGUAGUGAAUAGAAUUUUCUAUCAAAAAUUCAACCUAUUUCGAUUUUUUUUCACCGUUAAACUAGCAAAUAUUUCAUACUGGUCGUUAAAAAUUGUCAAUUUUGUGACCUUUUGAUCGUAAGGUAAUAAUAUCGAAAAAUUAUAAAAUAUAAUUUCUAGAAAUUUUAAAUACUCUAGAUAAUAUUUAACGGUAUGGGUCGUCGAUUCGGAAGCUCUAUAUAAUGUAUCGAAACCUAGAUAGAAAAUGGCGAACUUUAGGCAAAUUGACUAAAGUGCGCGAAUGGAUUAAUUGGGCGAGUUCUAAUUAACCUACCAACAGUGUUGGGAGGGUUAAAAAUGAGUUCUAGAAAUGUUAGAAGGGUUUUGGCAUCGAUCUGCGCGAAAUAGAAUCGAGACGGAGCCAAAAAUCAGGUCUGGAGCAAAGUGUACCGGUACAGCAAGCGACCUGUCACCGGUUAUACAUGCUGAAACCGGUGACACUUCGAAGUGUACCGGUACAUUUUGGGCGAAACCAAAAGAUCUGCUCUUGGGUUUGCCUCUGCAUAGUCGUGAAAUCGGUGACACUUCAAAGUGUACCGGUACACUUUGGGCCUGACAGCAAAAUAAGGUCUGCUGCAAAAUAUAAAGAUUGGGAGGGCUUUUUGGCAAAUAUUACAACAUGUUAAUAGCUCAAUACCCCUUCCCCUCAUAGCCAACACCCAUUUCACUCUCUCUCUCUUAUUUUCCUCUCUUUCUCUCUCUAGAAAGUAAGUCCUAGAGCUUGGAGAAGAUGGAGAAGAGCUUGAAGAACUGGAUUUUAGUGGCUUGGUGGUCCUAGAAGCUCUCCAACAAGAAGGCUUUGGAAGAGCUUGGGCAAAGGUGAGUCCUUAUGCAAAAAUGAGUCUAGGGUUUGGGUUUAGACCUUAGAUUUUUGAAUUUUGAUCUCUCUACAAGUGAGGAAACCCUCUAGAGACCUUGAAACCAUGAAAUCCAUGGUUAUCUUGGACCCCUCUCAUGGUGGAGUGUUAGAAUCCAAGUUGGAUACCCUAGGAAUGGUUCAAAUAGCUUAGUAACGAUAUUAGAGAGCUUCCUAGGUGAAUCUAAGCUAUCCUUUGCUUAGGAAUGAGAUCAAUCUAGGAACUAUUACAUUAGGGUAUUGUUAGGGCACCAAAUUUAGGGCUUUUGCCUCCGAGUGUUUCUAAGGUAAAUUAACCUUAUAGAAACCUAAUUGAGGGUAUUUUAAACACGUUGGAACGUUCAGUUCGACAAUCUGACGAGUGUAUGCAAAGUUAUUGACAAAAAUAUCAUUUUCCGUAUAGAUAACCGCAGCACGCGGACUAGAACUUCAAAAAAUUUCAAAAAAUUCAUCGUAACAUCCCUACAACUGUCUAAGGUGGGUGGUUACUAAAGCAAAUGGAUAAGUUGAAGCGCUUGCUGGCUGAGGCUGAGGCAGCGCUUGAAGCUCGCAAAAAGCCGCCGGAAGACACAGGCCAUCGGGUUGUCGGCGAAGGGCUUGUUAUCGACGAAUGGGNGCUGGCUGAGGCUGAGGCAGCGCUUGAAGCUCGCAAAAAGCCGCCGGAAGACACAGGCCAUCGGGUUGUCGGCGAAGGGCUUGUUAUCGACGAAUGGGCAAAAAAAAAAAAAAAUAGAAACACAUAUUUCACAAUGUUGUUAUAUUCAAUUUUCUUUUUCACUUUCAAAAUUUUGAUCGGAAAUUCGUGAAUCGAUUUUAUUUGUUUUCAGAAAGAGCGAAGAGAGAAGUACCUUGCUUGGCAGCAGGUGGAAAGGGGUUGGUGAUUCGGUGUAAAGUGUGGUUUGUUUACUGCUAGUAUUAUUAUUAUUAAGAUUAUUUAUUAACCUAAAUGAAACCAUAAUGUUUCUUGCCACGUGGCAAGAAACCCUUCAUCCUCAUAAUAAUAAUAAUAAUAUAUAAUAUAAUAUAAUAAUUUAUUAACUCCUCUCCUAUAUGAUUCAUUAAUGUUUCAUCAAUUAAUUUUAUAUUAACGUUUCAUCUAUUAAUUCUAUUUUUUUUGUAAUAACUCUCUCUUCCCCACCCCUUCCCCUCCCCUUUCCUCCCCAACUAUACGUUCUUGGCCGUAUAGUAUAUGAUUGAUUAAUAUUUCAUCAAUUAUUUGUAUAUUAAUGUUUCAUCAAUUAAUGAUAAUUAUAAUCAUAAUUGAUUACUAGACUAAUUAUUCGUAGUCACCGUUUCAUUCUUUCAUUUUGUUAAUUUUUUUUAUAAAAUUUUAAAAUAUAUUUACUCAAUAUGUAAAAUAAUUAGAUUUUAAAUUUAGGCUCUUAGUAUCGAUCAUUACAAGAUUAAUUCUAUUUGAAUAUUCUCGCGCCGAUCCUCCUCUACACAUAUCACCUUUGCAAUCUCCAUGCCACCGAUCCCAUCCGUGAGUAUUUUUUUUUCAAAUAUAAUAAUUUUUUUAUAUAAAUUUGAGUGAUUUGGUGAGAAUUAGUAAUAUUUUGAGGUUAAUUAGAAUUUUUUUGGUUCAAUUUGAGCGAUUUGGCAUGAAUAGAUGACAUUUUGAAAUGCUAUAUGUUAUAGAAAUACUAUAUGUUACUUGCACAAUUAUUGUUCGUACUACAUUACACAUUCCAGACAAAAUGAAUGAAUAAUCUAUAUUGUAUAUAUUAGUAUAUUUCUAUAUACUCUAAAAUAUAGAAAUAUUUAAAAUAGAUUUUUUUCCUGUUGCAUCGAUAGCUAUAUAAUUGUCUAUAUUGUACCCUUUUUGACAUAGUAAUAUUUUAUUUAGUUAUAUUAAUAUUUUAUUAUUUAUAAAUUUUUUACUUUAGCAGUAACUACUCGCCGCAUCGCGCGGGUGCCUACACUAGUUAUUAUAUAAUGAGGCAUUGUGAUCCUCCUUGUUUCUGGCUGAAUGAAGUGGUUUAAUCGUGCAUUAGUUGUGGUUUAAUUAAAAGGGGAAUGUAUUAGUCUUCUCCUUCUCUAAUGGCUUGGAUGGUGAGGACAAUAAAUGAACCUUUGAUAUGGUUUAUAUGCGGAUAAGUCGUUAAUUCUAAACAUUUUAUCACACUGCUCAUCUUUUGACUACUACAUGCAUGGAUGUGCUACUACAUGCAUGGAUGUGCUGAAUAUAGAUGCUCAUGCAUUCAGAUUGUGUCUUGAAAUUUAAAUCCCAUCACCGACCGGCUCUAGAGCAAGUGGUAAAAAGCUUGGUGGUUGAUAUCCGAGACUCAAGUUCGAAUUCUAGUUAAUUCACAUUUUCAGCUAAGUUUAUUUCUAAAUAAAGUAAACGAAGCGGGUAGCGUAUUAUUUAUCUCUCAAAAAAAAAAAAAAAUUUUAACCCCAUCUUUCAAUUAUGUAAAAAUAUUUUCAUACCGUGAGUAAAUGUUGGCAGAUCGAUAUUCAAAUAAACAAAAGUUUGUAAAUCAAAGCAGGUUAAAUUAUUUAAAUGAUAAAUAAUGUAAUUUAAUACUGAAUAAUAUAUCAAAUCUGUUUUUAACGGAUUUAUUUUAUAAUGUUUUGUGUUUUAUAUUAUGCCAAGUUGCAGAACUCGGCUAAAGAACUGCCACCUACUUCUAUAUUUCUGCAGGGACUGAACUUUAAAUUUUAAAUAAUUUGACUUAAUCCAUGUACAUAUAUUAUAGGCAUAUUAAGAUUAGAUUUAAUCAAUUUGAAUAAAAAAUUAUGUAAUUUAGCAUUAGAUAUACUAGAAUACUUUGAAUAAAGUCCACUUGUAGUUUAAUUUAAUUGAUGUUUUUUUUUGACUAGUAGUGAUAAAAAGUACAAUGUGACUAGAGAGAAAAUUCCACUCCAAAAAUCAUUUAAAAAUUUUAAAUUUAAAUAAGAUUAUAUUUUUUUUAAAAAAUUAAAAGUAGUUUAAUCUUAUAUUAGAUAUAUUGAAAUAUAUUAAAUCAGACAUAUUUUUCAAUUUUAAAUAUUGAUUAAAGAAUUAUUAAUUAAAGUUAAUUUGUUGGAUAAUUUGAGGCUAGACUAGAUUACAAUCGCUUUUCCACAAGAUAAGUGUAAUUAACAUGGAGGGAUUACAGAAGCAUUUGAAAUUUGUAAUAAGAUAGUUAAGAGAAUUUGCACCGCGUGUAUAAACCACAUACAUAUUGUACACCGUCCCUCAAAAAACUAAAAACGAAUAGAGUUCCUAAAAUCAAGAUAAAACAUGUUGUAUGUAUUUCUUUGAAAAUAAAAAUAAAAAAUUUGUAUAUCAAAUUCGUCUAAUAAUUAGUAAUAGAAAAGAACUAGUUUUAUCAUGCUAAUGUGAUGAUCUUGCAAUAUUAAUUAGACAUAGCAAAUGUAAAGGCCAAUCCUAAUACAUAUAGUAUGAGUUGAAUGUCUAAAUGGUGUGAUAAUGAUAUAUUUAAACAAACUAUCUCAAUGUUGCAAGAUUAUUAGUUGGUUCACUCAUUUUUCUAAACUUGAAAAAAAAAAAAAAAACUCUUUUGUAUGUGUGGAAUUUAAAAUAAAAUACUUUAUCAAACCAUAGUUUACAUUCUUGAAAGCAUAAUUAAAAUGGGAGAUUGGAGGAAAAACAAAUGAAUAUAUAAAAGAUAGUCAAAAAAUGAUAGAAAAUUAUACUUAUUGCAAAAAAUAAGUUGAAUAAAAAUUAUUACAUAUAAAAAAAUUUUACUUUCAAACGCUAAUAUCUUUCAAAUUUAGAUAAUAUGUUUUAAAUUUAUCUGUCCAAUUAAAUUUGGAUUCGAAAGAUAUUAAUCAUGAUUGGCACAGAGGCUGCAAGAGUGCGCGUACACCAGGCGAGUGCGCGUACACCAGGCCUACGAAAAUUUUCUUGUUUGUUAGUUGAGAAUUACGCGCCAGAUUUGAAAUUAAGCCGUGGAGUUUUCAACUGGGAAUUCGUUGAGUUAUGAAAAUAUCUUAUCCAUAAUUAAUCUUAUAUUUAUCCUUAUUCAUUUCAAUUUAUGUUAUUUACCUGAUAUUUUAUAAUGUUUUAUGUUUUAUAGUGCGACAAGUGAUAAGUUUGGGCUAAAGAACUGCCACCUACUUCUAUAUUUUCACCUACUUCUAUAUUUCCACAUGGGCUAGAGUUUAAAUUUUAAAUAAUUUCACUAAACUAUGUACAUAUAUUAUAGGCAUAUUAAGAUUAGAUUAAAUCAGUUCAAAAAAAAGAAUUAUGUAAUUUAGCCUUAGAUAUAUUAGAAUACCUUGAAUAAAGUUUACUUGUAGUUUAAUUUAAUUGAUGUUUUUUUUUACCAGUAGUCAUAAAAAGUAAAAUGUGACUAGGGAGACAAUUCCACUCCAAAAAUCAUUUAAAUUUUUUAAAUUUAAAUAAGAUUAUAUUUUUUUAAAAAAAUUAAAAGUAGUUUAAUUUUAUAUUAGAUAUAUUGAAAUAUAUAAAUACAGACAUAUUUUUUUCAAUUUUUAAUAUUAAUUAAAGAAUUAUUAAUUAAAGCUAAUUUAUUGGAUAAUUUGAGGAUAGACUAGAUUACAACCGCUUUUCCACAAGAAGAUAAGUGUAAUAAACAUGGAGGGAUUACAGAAGCAUUUCAAAUUUGUAAUCGGAUAGUUGAGAGAAUUUGCACCGCGUGUAUACAUCACAUACAUAUUGUACACCAUCCCUAUGAUAUAAUGUGUUGUAUGUAUUUCUUUGAAAAUAAAAAAUUUGGCUAUCAAAUUUGUCUAAUAAUUUCUAUAUAAUAGAAAAAAAACAAAUUGUACAAUACUAAUGUGAUGAUCUUGUAAUAUUAAUUAGACAUAGCAAAUGUAAAGACCAAUCCUAAUACAUAUAGUAUGAGUUGAACUUCUAAAUGGUGUGAUAAUGAUAUAUUUAAAUAAACGGUCUCGAUGUUGCAAGAUUAUUAUUUGGUUCAUUCUUUUUUUUUUAACUUGACAAAAAAAACUCUUUGGGGUAUUUAAAAUAAAAUUCUUUAUCAAACCAUAGUUUAUAUUCUUUAAAGCGUAAUUAAAAUGUGAGAUUGGAAAAAAACAAAUGAAUAGAUAAAAAAUGGUCAAAAAAAAUGCUGAAAAUGAUAUGUAUUGUAAAAAAUAAGUUGAAUAAGAAUUAUUGAAAUAUAUUUAGAUGUUUGGAUCAGAGGUUGAUUUGAUAGAUUUGAUGGUGUGCUUUUUUUUAAUUUUUAUGACAUCUUAUCUGUCCAAUUAAAUUUGAAUUUGAAAGAUAUUAAUCAAGGUGCGCACGAAGGGUUUACAUACACCAGGCGUAAGCAAAAUUUCCCGUAUUCGUUUGUUGAGAAUUACACGGCGGAUUUGAGAUUAAGCCGUCGAGGUUUUAACUGGGAAUAGUUAUGAAAAUAUCUUAAUAUCUUAUCCAUAACUGGGAAUAGUUAUGAAAAUAUCUUAAUAUCUUAUCCAUAAUUAAACUUAGACUUAUCUUUAUUCAUUUUAAUUUAUAUUCUUUACUUGAUUUUUUUUUUUUUACACUAUGCUAUAAUAUCUGUCUAUAAAUAACCCAUUAUGAUCCCUCAUUCGUUGUUUUUCUAUUUUGUUACUGUGCGUUUCUUUUCCGUUCGAAUCUAUAUAUUACUCUUCUCUCUUUAUCGUAUAGUGCCACUCCUCAUCUUGCGAUCAUGGCCGGCGGUGGUUUUACUGGUCCGCCGGGCAGCAAGGACUAUCCCGGCAAGAUGACUGGGUAUGUCUUCCUCGCCUGUCUCGUCGCCUCCUCCGGCGGUCUCAUCUUCGGUUACGACAUCGGCAUUUCCGGUACGUGCGCGCGUAGCCAUUUUUGUAUCUACACGUAAGAUAGACAAUAAUGAUGAUGAUGAUGAAAUUAAAUUAAUUUUAAUUUUAAUUUUAAUGAAAGGCGGAGUGACGUCGAUGGACUCGUUUCUGACGAAGUUCUUUCCGGAGGUGUACCGCAAGGAGCAGCGGGCGACAGGGAGCAAUCAGUACUGCGAGUUCAACAGUCAGCUGCUGACGACGUUCACCUCCUCGCUGUAUCUGGCCGCUCUCGUCGCCUGCUUCUUCGCGUCCACCAUCACGCGCGUCUUCGGCCGCAAGCUUUCCAUGCUCGGCGGCGGGCUCAUCUUCAUGGUCGGCGCCAUCAUCAACGGGGCCGCCAGGAACGUGGCCAUGCUCAUCGUCGGACGCAUCCUGCUCGGCCUCGGCAUCGGAUUCACCAACCAGGUCGGUAUAUGUAUAUAUAUAUAUAUAGGUCGCACGCAUGCAUGGUUGUUUCGUCCGCGUCCGCAAUUCAUACACAUGUAUAUAUACAGUAGCACGUAUAUUACUUGUACGCUCGGCCUCGGCUGUUGAUUUGAUUUGAUUUGAUUUGAUCUGAUCUGAUUUGCAGUCGGUGCCUCUGUACCUCUCGGAGAUGGCGCCCCCGCGGCACCGGGGGAUGCUGAACAUCGGGUUCCAGCUGAUGAUCACGAUCGGCAUCUUCAUCGCGAACCUGAUCAACUACGGGACGUCGAAGAUCAAGGGGGGCUGGGGCUGGCGCGUGGGGCUGGGCCUGGCCGUGGUGCCGGCGCUGAUCAUGACGGUGGGGUCCCUCUUCCUCCCGGACACCCCCAACUCGCUCAUCGACCGGGGCCACAAGGACGAGGCCCGGACCAUGCUGCGACGCGUGCGGGGCACCGAUGACAUCGCCGCGGAGUUCGAGGACCUGGUGCAGGCUAGCGAGGCGUCCCAGGCCGUGAAGCACCCGUGGUCGGCCCUGAUGCGCCGGCGCUACCGCCCGCAGUUCAUCAUGUCGUUCAUGAUCGGCGGGCUGCAGCAGCUGACCGGGAUCAACGUGGUGAUGUUCUACGCGCCCGUGCUCUUCAAGACCCUCGGGUUCGGCGCCGAGGCCUCCCUGAUGUCGGCCGUCAUCACCGGCCUCAUCAACGUCUUCUCCACCCUGGUGUCCGUCUUCACCGUCGACCGCAUCGGCCGCCGCGUGCUCUUCCUGCAGGGCAGCGUGCAGAUGACGGCGUCCCAGGUGGUGGUCGGCGCGCUUAUCGGGGCCAAGUUCGGCACGGACGGCAUCGGCACCAUCUCCAGGGGCUACGCCAUCCUCGUCGUCGUCUUCGUCUGCCUCUUCGUCUCCGCCUUCGCCUGGUCCUGGGGCCCGCUCGGCUGGCUGGUCCCCAGCGAGAUCUACCCGCUGGAGAUCCGCUCGGCCGCGCAGAGCAUCACCGUCUCCGUCAACAUGCUCUUCACCUUCCUCGUCGCCCAGAUCUUCCUCCCCAUGCUCUGCGCCUUCAAGUUCGGCCUCUUCUUCUUCUUCGCCGCCUGGAACAUCAUCAACUUCCUCUACAUCGCCGUCCUGCUCCCCGAGACCAAGGGCAUCCCCAUCGAGGAGAUGUCCCGCAUCUGGAAGCAGCACUUCAUCUGGUCCAGGUACGUCACCGACGACUCCGACGCCAAGUCCAACAACGACGCCGCCCGCAAUGUCGACAUCACUACUAGGUCCAGGACCGACUCCGUAUGAUCCGACCCGACCCGACCCGAUUCGAUUGAUCGUUCGGUCGUUUCAUUUAUCUCUGAUCCUUAAAAAAAAAAAAAAAAAUUUCUUUUUCGUUGUUGUUGUUUUGAUGAUAUCGUCUCGUAAUUAGCCUUCGUUAGGCGAUUGAUUGAUCAGUUAAAUUAAUUCUAAGUAGGACUAGCAGCAGUAGUGUAGUGAUCGAUCAGGUUCUGUUUUUAUUCAUAUUGGACAGACAGAUUGUGUAAUAAUCUGCACGUACGCACGCAUGAGAAUUAUUUUCAGCAAGCACUUUCUGAAAGUUUUGAUUACCGUAUUAGUGGUUUCGAUGAGGAAACCAAAAAUUUGCCCAAAGCAGACGAGAUUUCCUCCGGUAAGGCUUAUCUUUUAUUAGAUAAUAAUCUUCUAUUUGGAACUAAUUAUUUAAUCAUCUUCCUAAAAUUUCAUCGUUAUUGGAACCCAUGCAAUGCUGGCACAAAUUUGAUCCACAGAUUUUUUUUGAACCUUAUUUUUAACAACAACUCGUGUCAUGCAUGCAGCUGCCGAUAAACAUUUUCCUAAUACAUACAACAUUUUUUGUGCAAAGUAUACUUACACCUAUAUAUAUAUAUAAGACUAUACUAAACAUUAAUUCCAUUAUCGAUCGGCAAAGACGGUGCAAACAUUAAUUCCAUUAUCGAUUGUCAAUGACCGUGCAAACGCUCAACAUUGCAAACAACAAAAAUAACUCUCCCCUCUUUAUUUUUCAUAAUUAAUUAUACAAAUUAAGAAAUAAUUACUCUCCCCUCCUUAUUUUUCAUAAUUAAUUAUACAAAUUAAGAAAUAAUGCAAGUAACAAGUGAGCAGAGAAAGAUUGGGCUAAAAUAUUACUGCUCGAUUCAAAUGGGAAUGGUCCUUUUUGAACACAGAGAUGUAAAAAAAGAAAAUAAUUAAGGCUAUACAAGCUAAGUAUCUUACAUAGCCCAAAUAAUAAUGACAAAAAUUUUUCUUUCUUAUAGUAGAUGGAGCACGUGCUGAACUCAUCAAAUAUCAUAACCGAUAACAAGUUGCAGUCUCAUUCAAUUCAAACCAAUUUGAGCGCGUCGACCGAUCACGCACCGAACGUGCUAGUUUUCUUGCCAACAUGGAUAUCAUCGUCGGAGAUGAACUUGCCCCAGAACCAAUGCUUCUUCCAUGCGAGGACCAUCUCUUCAAUUGGCACGUUCUUGGUCUCCGGCAGGAAUAAGCCGAUGAAGAUGGUCAUGACAAGCACCCAACCGCCGAAGAAGUAGAAGAGGCCGAACUUCAAGCGGCAGAGCAAGGUGAGGAAUGCCUGUCCAAUUAUGAAGGUGAAGAACAUGUUCACCGACACGUUAAUGCUUUGGCCGGCGGAUCGGAUUUCGAGGGGGAAGAUCUCGCUGGGGACCAGCCAGCCGAGGGGGCCCCACGACCACGCGAAGCCGGCUACGUACACGCAGAUGAAGAGCACCACACAGCUCGCAUAUCCCCUGGAUAGAUUGGCACCAACACCGCUUGUCCCGAAUUGGAAUCCAAUCAAGGUCCCCACAACGAUCUGUACACAAUUAAAGGAGGUGAUAAAACAUUAGAAGAAUAGGAAUGGUAACGCUACUUCAUGCGAUUUUGAUCUGCUAAUGUAAGAGUUGAUCCUAAAACCAUUUCCAUCUAGCAAAAACAGUCACUAGCACAAAACUAUAUACAAUGUUAUCUACAUAUAUGAAUCAUGGACGAUUGCUGCAGGCCAAUUCGUCGCUGCAUGUGAUCACCAAAGUGUCAAAGACAAAAUACAACCUUAUAAAGCUAGUAUACUAUUUUUUUGGUGGUGGAGGAAAAAAAAAAAAAAAGAAGGUUAUCACGCACAACCUUAUGUUCGUUGACCAGCCAACAACAAAAUUUCAUACCUGGCAUAUGAGCAUUUGGGUGCCACCCUGUAAGAAGAGUGCCCUGCGGCCGACUCUGUCGACAGUGGCUAUAGAGACAAAGGUAGCAAACAUGUUGACGAGGCCUGUAAUAACAGCGGACAUGAGUGCGGCAUCGUCUUCGAAGCCAAUGGUCUUGAAGAGAACGGGAGCAUAGAACAUGAUCACAUUGAUCCCGGUAAGCUGCUGGAAGAAGGGAAUGAGAAUAGCCAUAGUGAGUGCCGGCCUGUACUUUUUCUCCAAUAUGUUCUUCCACGGGUGCUUGAUGGUCUUUGACUCCUCACUUGCGGCCACAAGGUCAUCAUACUCCUCUUGAACGUCGUCGGUGCCACGGAUCUUCGAGAGCAUUGAUCUCGCCUGUUCGGCAUGCCCUCGCUCGAUGAGCGAGUUUGGGGUGUCGGGGAGGAGAAGAGCGCCGAGGGCAAUGACGACGGCAGGGACCGCGGCGAGUCCUAAGCUGACGCGCCAGCCCCAACCUCCGGCGAUCUUCGCAGUUGCAUAGUUGAUGAGGUUGGCGGCCAAAAUUCCGAUCGUGAUCAUAAGUUGGAAGCCAAUGUUGAGCAUCCCGCGGAGUUUCGGCGGAGCCAUCUCAGAGAGGUAUAGCGGCACAGACUGCACGUUCAAUUGGUUACGAAGUGGAAUAAUAAUAUGGAGAGUUUUUGUAAAGAAAGAUUUUAAAACACACGGACUUUACCGUAAAAUGUUACUAUAUAUCUAUGCUAUUGUAACUUUUAUGUUUAGAAAAUGCCAUGAAGUUCUAACAGAUGGAACUCAAUGGUUCACUUCUCAAAACCAAUAAGAUAUUCCAUCAAUUAACAAUAUUAAUUCUAAGUAUGUUGUCAAAAACUUGAAAGUACUACCAAGUUCCGAAAACAAGGUUGUUAAAUCAAACACAGCCCAGAGUUUAGGUAAUAAAGUCAAAACUUUUGAAUCUAAGAUUCUCAUUUCGAAACGCGCUCUGGUUAUGCAAUAUCUUCUGAUUUGUACCGAAGAUAUUAUACUUAUAUGUUGGUGUUAUGAAUAUGUUACCUGAUUGGCGAAGCCAACGCCAAUGCCGAGAAGGAUGCGACCGAGGAUAAGCAUGAACACGCUCUCAGCUGCACCAUUGACGACUGCACCCACCAAAAAGGUGAUGCCUCCACCAAACAUGGACCACUUCCUUCCAAACACCCUCGUCACUGUCGCUGCGAAGAACGAUGCUACCAAUGCGGCCAAGUAAAGCGAGGAUGUGAACAGAGUCAAUAGCUCGCUGUCGAACUUGCAGUACUGAUUCGUGCUCACAUCCUCCUUCUCCUUAUGGUACACAGAAGGAAAGAAUUUUAGCAGGAACGAAUCCAUUGAUGUCACUCCCCCUUUUUAUUGGCAUUCAAAGACAAAUACAAAAACAUAUCCCUAUUAGAAACAGGGAAAAUACUGAAGCAUACGAAAGGACGAGAAAACAUCAUUUGUAUGAUCUCCUAAGAUUACCGGAAAUGCCGAGAUCAUAGCCGAAAAUGAGACCACCGGAGGAGGCCACGAAGCAGGUGAGGAAUACAAAGAGCGUCAUCUUGCCUGGGUACUCCUUCCCUCCGGAAGCACUGACGACUACACCGCCCGCCAUUGGCUCGGAGUAUCGAAUUUCCUCUAGCUUUUGUAAGAUAACAAGAGGAGGACAACAGCAGGUUAAUGGGAAGCCGAGAAGUGAAGAGAAUGAAGAGGAGGUUAUGAUUUUGGAAAGCGAGGCGCAAGGUGUUCCUUAUAUAGAUGAGUUGAGGUUGAGGGUGAGUUGAGGUGGCACAAAUUUCCAUUGUAUGACAAUGGAAUAGUCAGUCAGAGCGGAAAACAGCUCUUACCGUCCUAAUUAUAGCCUCCAAGGGUAGUAGAUUUUAGUUGGCCGCUCUUACGAAAAAAAGAAGAAUCGAGCAACCGGGCUUUUGACUGUUAUAGCUAAUUUUGGCGUGGUGUAAUAUUCUUAAACCUGUGAGAGCUUGAAAUUCUAAUAAAAAACUAAUCCCACCCUUGUGAUAUCUAAAACUGGAUUAUAGGUAUCUAUUUACACCUGUUUUUGCGCCGCAUUUAUCCUAAUUUUAGACAAACAACAAAUCACCUUAUCUAUAAUCUAUCUUUAGUCAUCUAUCUGAAAUAUUGUCUAUCUGAACUAGAUUGUCCUAUCUGGUCGUCACAAUCUACAGGUCAUCUCCUGUCCGUUGUAUUUAGGUGCUCCUCUUCUCUAUGUUGAAUGUUCUCUUCCAUUUCUCUUCCAUUUUUCUUAAGAAAUAGGGGGUAUAAAAGCUAUAGAUAGAGAAAAAAUACAUGUUUAAGUGUUUCUGCACCCACCUUUUAACUAAACUUUGUUAUUUAUGGGAAUUACAUGUCUAUAAAUUCAGGCUGGAGGAUGGUGGCGCCGAUACUAGGAAAAGAUCGAAAAAAAGAAAGACAGGUGCCAAAAGAAAUGAGGUUCUCGGUUAAUUUCCUGGUGCAUGACGCUUCACGAGAUUUGAAACCUCUACAACACUCCACAUGAAAUGUAUUUGGAGGUUUCUUUCUUUCUGGGGCAUCAGAAUUUUAGUUGUAAGAGUGUACUUGUGAAGAGAAUAGAGUGACGCAUUACACUUGCGACGCAUUUUGACAAGCAAAAAAAAAAAAAAAAACCGAAACAUACAAACUCGAACUGUAUAAUCUAAUAAUAAACAAGCGACCAAGAUUACGUAAUCGCAUGAAAAGAGGGAAGGAGGAAGUGUAGGGUGUGCGAGGUGGGCGAAGUCGGAGAUCUAGCAAGCAGCGUGGGUCCAAAGCCAUUUUCGACUCCCUCGGCGGGAGGAAGAGGACAAGUGUGAAACAAUCGUUGUAUUCUAAAAUUUUAAGCUGUUAGAGAAUGGUGUGUUUAUAUAAUUUUAUGAGAAAUGAUUCGGUACUUUUUAAAAAAAUAUAUAAAAAAGAUCUUAACCGUUGAUUAAUAAAGGGUAAAAAUAUAAUUUUAAUAUUUAGCAGGUAAAAGGAUUAUUUUAUUCAAGGUUAGUUUGAUAAUUAAACAAUACAACAUUUAAAGAAACUUUUAAUUGAGGUCCUAAAUUUACGCAUUAAUUUGCACUAAUUUAGAAAAUUAAUUGAUUAACCAAAUUUAUGCAUUAAUUAGGCAUUAAUUUAGGCAUCUACUUUAAAUAUUUUAGUGUUUCUAAAAUUAUGCAUUAAUUUAAAUUAUAGGAAUUUUAGAAAUAGUUCUAUUUCUAAAUACGAUGAAUUUAAAUUUUAAAUAUUAAAUAUUUAAAAUUUAAAAGUGAAAUUUAAAUUAGAGGAAUUUUGUAUUACUAUUUAAAAAAAUUGUAAUGUUGGUAAAUAUUUUAAUUCAACAUAUUUAAUAUAUUUAAGAAACUUUUAAAUUCCUAUAGUUUAGACAUUAAUUUUGUAUCACUUAUUUAAAAAAUUUUGAAUGUAGGUUAAAAAAUUUAUAAUUUAAAUGUAUUUAAUAUGUUAAAAAAAAAUUUAGAGUUGUUACUUAUAUUAGACAUUAAUUUUGUAUGAACUAUUUAAAAUAUUUGUAAUGUUCCGGUAAAUAUUUAAUUUAACAUAUUUAAUUCGUUUAAUAAAUUAUGAAUUUCAUCUUAGUCAUUAAUUUUGUAUAAUACUAAUUUAAAAAUUAAAUGUGGCGGCAAAUAUUUAUUUUUAACAUAUUGAAUAUGUUUAAAAAAUUACAUAAUUUAUUCUAAUUUAGAUACUAAUUCUUUAUCACAAUUUAAAAUUUAAAUGGUAGAUAAUUUUUAUUGAAAUAUAUGGUUAUACUAUGGAAUUUAAAAGUUCUUUACUAUCAAAAACUAAAAAAAUUUAAUAUUUUUGAUCCAUUAGCCAUCGCGAAUUUGCAACAGUUAUUAUAUCAAACAUAUAAAAAAAAUUAAUAUCCAUACUAUCUGAUAAAGAUCGAACUAGAAAAAAUCUAACGUACAAAUUAAAUCAAAAAUAAAUCUAAAUUUCACUUCUGAUUAUUUAAUAAAAGAUUUAGAAAGCAAGUAAAGUUAUGUGUCAAAGAAAUUUUAAUGCAUACCUUUCUUAUAUAUUAAACUCAUUGAUAUUAACAAAAACAAAGAGAAAAAAAAAAAUUUAAAGAUCAUAUUGUCAAAUAAUUGAAAAUUUCUUAUUGAAAUGCCCAAAUUAUGAAAGAAAAGAUAAGAGAGAAAAAAGAAAUAAGAGAAAUAAAAAUUUUGAAAAUACAGCUAGAGAUAAAAUGACUAAAUUGUCUAUGUAUUAAAAGAAAAAAUACCUUUUUGAGCUACCUUGAGUACGGUACCUCCCCAAAGAUGGACCGGCUAUUGCAGGUUAAUAUUUAAAAAAAACAAAAUCUGCAGCCGUUGAAUACGCGUCAAUAUGAACGGUAACGAAAAAAAAAAAGUAUAAGAAGCAUUACUCUAAUUUUAAUUUAACACUCCCCCUCACGUCUGACUCCAGGAGACUUUUUCGCGGCGCAUGACGUGCAGCUUGAUUAAAUGGAGAAAUUAAUAUGGCUAGGAGCCGUUGACGUGACUCGAACUUAGGACCUCCUACACUCUGAUUGACCCCUAAUGUGAAAUAACGUUGUACUCUAAAAACUUAACUAGUUAGAGAACAAGGUGUGUGUUUAUAUAAUUUUAAAUAUUAACAACGAGGAACGAACAAGAUGAGGCACGGCACUGCUUUGUGUUUGUAUUACUUUCCCACAAUUCAACCCCUCCUAGCUAGGGGCCGCCACGUGGUUUUGUGCGUAAAUUAUUGAUUUUACCUAAUAACUUAUAAAAUCAAUAUUUAAACUGACAAACCAAAAUCAAAACACAAUACUAAUGUUUUUCUAAUUUGGCUCCAGAUUUGCGUUAUUCCACACUAGUUGUUCCAACUCUUUAGUCCAUGGACUAUGUUCAAGCCAAAUGGCGGUGGACUUCAGUAACGCCCUACCUGCCACCCGGACCUACUCAAAUGGCGAUGGCUUCCAACCAACUCUUUACGAUCAAAUCCCUUACAAGUUUAUGUAAUCUAAAACAAGGGAACAGGACAACAGGGACGCAAGAACCAGCCAUUAUCGGACUUAAAAUUCCGCUCAGUCAAAAUUUUCAUCUGGGUGCUAAUCCGUAAAAGACUUCUCGACCGCUGACAGAUUGCUCAACCAAGGGCAUCAGGAAGACGAACACUAUGGUCGUUCUGCUGCGGAUCCCGGAAACCUGUGGACCACCCAUUUGCAACAUGUAGAUCUUUCCGUCCGUUUCCUCUUCUUCAUGGCGGGCCGUACAAUCAAGGCAAUGCAAGUUGACGUUCAUGAGCUCUGGACCACUCUCAGGGCCGAUCAAAGACAUCAUCUAAAUGAUCUUAAAGCCUCCACCUUUCUCGCCGGCAAUUUGGUGGGUAGUCGACGGAAAGAAAACACUACCUUCAAUCAAGCGAUUCCAUGCUACCCGAGCCCAUUGAACGCACCAGACUUCUGCCUGCGAAAUCAUGGCUCGAGCUUCUCUGAUACUUACCACGCCCACAUAUGCAGCGGUGGCUUUUUUUUUUUAAGUAGUUAUCCAUUUACGUCCCUUUCUGUUCGCUUCUUUCCUGCUUUUUUUUUUGGUGAAGCUCUUUUCGGCAGGCCCUAGCUGCUAUCUACACUAUUACAUUUCAGUUUCAUUUUGUGACAUGAAUGAAGCAGGUAGGGUGCUACCUCUUUCUCAAAAAAAAAAAAAAGAAGAUAUUUUUCGAGCCAAUGAUUAGGAUCAAUCAGUCAAAUUUUCUUGUCACCAAAACGUUAGCGGAACCAGUGCCGUACCCUACCCUAGCCUUCAGAAUACCUCCAGUCUAGUUCUGUCUUAAAAGGACCACAAAGUUUCAAACUAGCGUAUCCACACACUGCACAAACACACAAAAAAGUAAGAAUCAAUGAGCUCUCCGAAGGACUUCUUCUGGAGGAGUUGGAAGUAAAGUCCCCGUGGAACGGGCUGUUUGUGGCUUGAAGACUGUCUGUAAGAGCAAAGAAGGAAGGGGGGCUAGAAUCUUGCGACUUAGCCGCUAAUGAACCAUGCUCUCCUGGGUCAAAUUGGUGGGGAAGUUCCACACGGCACAUCAUCUACAGGAACAGAUUAUACAGAUUUAUGAUUAUCGAGAGCGUUAGGCCAUUUAAUGAGGGAAGAUCCUUAGACCUUACUCUUUCUGGUGGAAGGGAGUCUUGAAUCUUACGACGAGUUUUCAAAUGGGGAUGAUGUCUUUCAAACUGGGGCAGACGGACGUACUAUCAACUUUUUCGGUCGGAUCGAUGGCUGUGGAGAGUCCUCGUUAGAACGGUUCGUUUUCCGAAGUGUUUGAAAUGCGACAGUAAGAACUUACAAAGUCAAGAGUAGUUUAUAGAACGACGAUUGGAAUUGGAAUAGGAUUUUAGGUGACGAUGGCGAGCAUCUCGGCAAGGGCUAGUUCUAGCCUGCGAUUGAGUUCAAGGAUAGGGUGUCCUGGUCUCAAAGUAGACAUGGACCAGACAAUACUACCUUUUCUUGGCGAUGGAACCCAGAUGAGGAAACCAAAUUUGCCCAAAGGCAAGACGAGAUUUCCUCCGGUAAGGCCUCAUCUUUUAUUAGAUACAUAAUUUCUAUUUGCGAACUAAUUAUUUAAUCCAGGCUUCCUAAAAUUUCAUGUUAUGGGAACCAUGCAGCUUGCCACAAAUUUGAUCACAGAUUUUUUUGAAACCUUAUUUUAACUACAACUCAUUGUCACGCAUGCAGCUGCCGAUAAACAUUUCCUAAAUACAUACAACUUUUCUGUCAAAAGAUAUACUUACACUAGUAUGUUAGAAAGAUUGUGUACGUUAAAACGCCGCGGAAAAAAGAACUCAAACAAUUAUAUUUUUAGAAACUCUCGAGAUCCAAUCUCAAAAACCACGCAUUUAGGAUUCCUCCAUUUUUAAGAUUAAAGUAAGAAAACAAAAGCAUCGAAUCUUUACCUUUUCGCGAAUAGGAUCUUCCCGGUCAAUUUGGAUGAUCGUGGAAUUCGGUUCUCUUGAAGCUGCACAAGCGCUCGCGCGCUCAGUAAGGUUCCACACCGAUGUUCUUGAUUUGAUCGAUGUCCUCACCGGGGUGCUAGUCUCUUGGCAAAGGACGUCUUCUUGCUAAAGAUGGAGAGAGAGAGAGAGGAUGAGAGAUAACGGCCUAGGCGUUUCUAAAAACUCCCGUUGUAUAUAUAAGAACUAUAAUCCAGAUUCCUUAAUAAUAUAAUACAAUUAAGGAUAAGUAUAUAUCUUAGAUUAAAUUUAUCCUUUCCUUAAUUGGUUUAGAUCGAUUAAUCCUAAUUUUGAUUCGAUCUUUAUAUUAAUUGAUCUAUCCAAACUUAAUAAUGCAAAUAUUUGCAGAUAAUCCCUCUAUAAUUUAACUAACUUUAGUAAGUCGUCUCUUUCGUAAACAUUUUACACCUUAAUACCACGUAAUUUGCUAACAAUUUACAAAUUAGUCCAAUUAUCAUUAUAUUGACAAUUAGGUCCUCCGCCGAUUCAAUAAUCGCGAGGCAUGCUAUCGAUCAAUCACAACUCUGUAUGUGUGUGACCCCAUAGGUUCUAUUCUAUCUGUGUGAGAAUAUAUUAUUGCAUCACUAUCAAACAAUAAUCACUGACACUCCUUUUCAAUAGAUUCGGAACAAUUCCAACUCAGCCCAAUGAGAAUUAUCGCAUAUCUAGACAAAUUCUCACGUGUCUUCACAAUCACUAGUGACGCCUAGCACAUGUAGUGCAUUCCAGUAGAAUGAAAUACUGAACCUCUUGGUGCAGUUACUGUUGUGGAUACAAUGCCUAUCUAUCAUGAGUCCCAACUAGACGGAGGUUAUGGAAUAACUCGUCAAACCCCAUACGAUCUGUCAUAUGUUAAAUUUAUUCGACGUCGAGUUUCUAAUAUCGGAAACCCUUUUCCGCCUUAUUAACUCUGCCCUGGCCAAGUCUAUCUAACUCGGCCAGUUAAAUCAACAUAGGACUAACGACCCUAUUCUACCAAGGGAGAUAGAUUCCUCUAAGGUGCGCACCUAUUACUACAAUGACCUACUUAACGCCAAACAUGACCACCGCAAGGAUCCGAAUGGCUAGGGACCAACGUGAUGACAGUCAAACAUACAAGUAACCUCAUUCGUGAAUAGCCGACGAGGCAUCGCAGUCAAAGCGACCAGUCACACUAAUGCACAAAUUGAGUAAAGUCACUGACGAGUGAGUAGACAUCCAAAGUGCACUUCUCGUGUUGGUCCGCUCGGUACCUUUUUCUCUACAACCACUCUGCCAUAUUUCGCUCCUGUCCACAUUUACUGUCGACCGAGACUUCGUCCUACCAAAAGGCGAGAGAACCAUAGGCACCAAUCUCACUGGGAUCAAUCCGACCGCCCGUGAUGAAUCUUAGUUAUCUGGGAGAUUUAGGAAUAAACACCAAUAACCAUGUCUCAAAUUCAUCAACUCUUGAGAAAUAUAUGUCGAUCAUCGUUAUUAUUCCUUCGACAGAUCCCAUCCAGCUAGCCAUCGGACACAAUACACACAUAUGAAUGAAAUAAUAAACCCAAAUUUAUUCAUAACUAUUUUAAAGUCAAAGAUACAAAUUGAUAGUCUAGAAAAAAACUACAUGUGUCAGCCUGUUGUUGGUUCUAGGGGCAUACAUUCUAACAAUUCUCCCAUUGCACUAAAGCAAUCAGCCUAUAUACAAGCCCCAUCUUCUCAAGUAGUGGACUUCAGUCUUCUGCUGGCUAAGGGGUUUAUCAAUGGGCCUGCACGUUAUCCGUGGAGUCUACUAUCUCUACAUUCGAUGAUUUCCUGUCGAGCGUAGUCGCGUAUAAUAUGAAACCCCGCUUAUAUGCUGGACUUCUGAUGAGAUCUGGGUCCUUAGCUAAGGCUAGGCGCCAAUUGUUGUCGCAUAGCAGAUGUAUUGACUCAGAUUGGCAAUCCACUAAUUCGCGCGACAAACUUCUAUGAAUCAGAAAGGCCUACUUCUAAAUGCGGCGAAUAUCUGCCUUUCAUUGGUUAAGGGUCGGUUGUUUGAAACUCUUUCCAAUACACCAAGCCACUACUCGCAGUAAGAACACGUAUCCUGACGUAGACUUGUCUAUCGGCAAGAACAUUCCAGACAUAGUUUAAUCAGUAUAUCCUCUAUGGAUUUCAACUCUUUUCUCCAAAGAUCAAUGAACAUAAUCCUUUAGUGCUGCUCAAGUACUGCUGAGUAUGUUCUUCACAGCAAUUCCAGUGCUCAUCGCUCUGGAUUAGAUUGAUAUCUGCUGUCGACACUCGACAAACAAUCCCAUAUCAGAUCGGUGUACACAGCAUGGCCGCUCAUAUAAGACUCCCUAUAGCUUGACGCAAUCAAGGGCUCUAUCUCAUACAUUGAAUCUGCUUCAAAUGUAUUGCGGGACCACAUUUAUCUUAAAGAGAUAUCUCCAUGUCUAUAGAGAGGACGUUUUCAUGCACGAAACCUGCUUCAGACUUCUUCUAUAUACAUUUUCUCGUGAGAGCGGCCUAGAUCCUUUUAGAUGUAUCUACUAUAGACUCCUUUAUCCCCAAAAUAGAGGAUGCCUCCCUAACUUUCAUCGGAGAUUCUUUUAGACAAUACAUCUUAACUGAAGUCAGUUAUUGGAAUGUCGAUUCCCAAUCAGGAGAAUGUCCAUCACGUACAAUACGAGGAAUGUGACAGCUGCUCCAUGACCUUCUUAUAAACCACGAAUGGUUCCUCAUCAUUUCUUUAACGAUUUAAACAAUUUAAUCACGUCAUUCAAAACGAGUAUUCAAUGUCCGAGAUGCUAGGUUAGUCCAUAAAUGAAUCGUUGCAACUUGCCAUACUUUGUGUGACUUUCGUCACCCGGAAGUGAAACCCAGAGGCUGCUUAUAUAGAUAUCUUCUUCAAGAUAUCUAUUUAGGAAGGCAGUUUUCACAUCCAUUUGCACAUGAUUGCUCAUAAUCAUAGUUAUGCUGCAAGGCACAGCAGUAUUCGAAUGCGAUUUAAGCAUGGCUACGGGAAAAGGUCUCGUGAUAAGUCAAUUGCCUUCGAUUGGAUAUAACCUUUCCAACAAUGCCUUGCCUUUAUAGGCUCUACCUUUUUCAUCCGAAACGCUAUCUUUCUUUUAUGUAGAUCCGAUUUACCCCGAUAAGGUACGUAUACCUCUGGUGGGUCUACCCAAAAUCCAAACCUAGUCUGGAAUGCACUUGAAGCAUUUCUUGACUUCAUAGCCACUCGCAACCAUAUUCUCGCGAAUCGAUGUCAGACAUCGCUUGUUGUAGGUUUGAGAGCAUCUCCGUGUUCCCUAGUCCAUGAGCGAACAUUUCCUACUAUUCCUCUUUGUAACGAUACUAAAUACGCGCUUAGUAGGGAUGGGAGAUUCUACAUCGACCUACAGGUGGAGGAGGUACUACAUGUAACUGGCUCAGGCUGGAAAUAGACCGUUCUUGUAGUUUGAUGACUCGUUGCUCUUCAGAAGACUCUUUCUUCGGAGCUCAAUUUUUCUCCCGACUAGCUUCGUUUCUUGGGAAUAAACGAUUUGUCCAGAAAAUAGCGAUGUUUUACUUACAACUAAUAUAUGAUGAUUCCUCUGGGAUAUAAAAUAGUAACCUAAAGAUUCUGUUAGGAAUCCAAUAAAACGAGCCCUCUCAAACCUGCCUCUAACUUUGUUCGCCUGUAUCGUUAACAUGAGCGGACACCCCCUAAUCUUUGAUAUGACCAAGACUUGGUAUACUUACCUAUGCCACAUCUCAUACGGCGUAGUAGGAACAGAUUUGAGGGAACUCUAUUUAACAAGGAAGCUGCGGAUAAGACAAAGCAUGUCCCGAGAAAAAUAAAAGGAGAUCAGUGAAGCUCUCAUAGGAUCGAACCAUAUCCACAUAAGGUUCGGUUUCUCCGUUCUGACACCCCGUUGAGUUGAGGUGUUCCCGAAGGAGUCCACUAUGAGACUAUGCCGUUUUCUUUGAGAUAAUUUAGAAACUCUCCACUAAGGUAUUCUCCUCCUCGAUCUGAUUGAAGAACCUUGAUGGAUUUUUCAGUUUGUUUUUCUACUUCAUAUCUGAAUUCUUUGAACUUUUCAAAAAUCUCAGACUUGUAUUUCACAAGAUAUACAUACCCAUACCGUGAAUAAUCAUCGGUAAAUAUUAUGAAGUAGAGAUAACCUCCCCUAGCAUGCGCAUCAAAUGGCCCACACACAUCAGUGUGUAUCAAGAAAAGUAUCUCAGUGGCCCUUUCCCCUUGUCCUACAAAGGGUAAUUUAGUCAAUUUUUUUGAAGACAAGAUUCACAAACUGGAUAAGACUCUGAAGUCAAUGGGCCGAGAAGCCCAUCUUUAUUCAAUUUAUUGAUCCUUUCUUAUUCAAUAUGACCAAGCCUGAGGUGCCACAUAUACUUUAGGUUCAUCUCAUCUCUAGAUCUCUUAGACCCAAUAACAGUCACUACUUGCUCAGAAAUAUUUGUAGAUACAUCCAUAUGUAAAUGAUAAAGACUAUCAAUUAUAAAACCAUGGUCAAUAAUUUUAUUUCUAAAAUAAAUUAUGCAGUAGCUUUUGUCAAAAUUAAACCAUCCUGUGUAGAAAUCAAAUUUCUGCUAGCAGGAGGUACAUAAUUGUAAUCUUUAAAUAAUAAAACAUAUCCUGACGGUAGUCGCAAAGGAUAGGUGCCAGCAGCCACAGUAGCAACUCUUGCCCCGUUGCCUACCCGUAGGGUCACUUCACCUUCCCUAAGCCCUCUACUUUCUCUUUCUGGAAGUAGAGGAAACCGUUAGUUUCUAUUACGAGCAAGUCUGACAUACCUUCCGAAGGUGUGUCCUUCCUCUUAUUCUUUAGGCUCUCCAGGUAGAAAGGACAGUUCCUCUCACAAUGACCGUCAACAUUGCAGUGGAAACAUUUUCCUUUAUUAGCGGCCCUUUUCUUAGGAGCUUCCUUCUUGGGCUUGUUUUCCGUCUUUUGUUUCUUCGCGGGUUUCUUCUUCCAAUUAGACUUUCUUUUAGAAGAGGAAGCUCGCUCCACAACGUGAACCGUUCCCUUUGAACUUUUCAAAAGUCCCCUCUAUUAUUACCAACAUGUUCAAUAACUCUGCAUUGGUGCAGUCAAUUUUAUUCAUAUGGUAGUUUACAAUAAACUGUCCAUAUGAUACAGGAAGGGAUUGCAGGAUCAGAUCAACUUGCAAUUCCUUAUCCAUUUUACGCCAAGCUUCUCAAGCUCCUCGAGGUCUAUGAUCAUUGUCAAACAAUGAUCAUGAACGGACUGCCCUUCUGUUAGUUAUUGGACGGUUUGGCAACGUGAGGUUUACCUGGUCGAGAACAAUGCAGAGCUUAUUGGAAUUUAAAACUAUUUUUAAAUUCCUUAGCCAGUCUUUAUAAUUAAUUUCAGUUAAGGAUUUUGUGUCGAGAAUACGAGAGAGAUAAUUGGAAGCAGACAUUUACUUUGCAGAGAGUAAAGAUUCAAGUUAGAUAUUUGUAUUUGUUUUGAAAAAUUGUUUUAGGGAUUUUAAAAACAAAUUUAGCCUCCCACUGUUUUCUCGAGUCUCUUACACUCCUCGGGUAGAGAAACGGAAACCCAACGCGACAAGAGGUUUCAAGUGGGUACUGCGGUCCCACCAAUUUAACGUACCACCUCACCUAACAGUUAUUGGUGAUAUGCAAACCGAUGAGUGGACAACUCUUGUCCAAUGCUUCUCAAGCAAAUUGCAGUGAUCGGUCUCUAAGUCCUGUAGGCCUCACCUGACAGUUAUUGGCCCCAUUCCUUAGUUAAGUCAGACCCACCGUUCAAACGCGUAAGCAAAGCCGUCAUUGGGUCCCUCACCUGACAGUUAUUGGGCCCAACCCCAUCUUUACUCCGCAGCAUCUCAUGCUAAUAGAGUGGUUGCGAAUUCCCGAUGCAACUGACCACUGUAACCAGCCGUGCCAAUCAACACCAGAAAAGCGCCCGCACUUCUACAACGGCGGAAGACCGCUCGACUUAAUAUUUAUGAGGAGAUUUAUUUAGGUCUCAAAAAAUAUUUUAUUUAUUUACAUCUAAUGCAAAUAAAAUAAAAAAUCAAUCCGCGCAAACAAACAUAAUUAAACUGGUGAUGAUCAUGGAUCUUAGAAGUGGAUUCGGACUCGAGCCACUGAGUCGGAAUCGGGGUCUUAGGGUCAUAAAUUACAAGCACACACACGUCAUUGGUUUGAUCGUCUUCAACUUCUUGAUCCGAUCUGGAGCUUCAACUUGAUUUGAUCCUUAUCAACACCUUGAUCCGACCGCCAUCAAGUAUUCGUCUCUAUCCGGGCCUUGCGAACUUUUAGGCUUGCAACCGAUCAACCAAUGACGUGCAACCAUACAUUAUACAACCCAACAAUAAAAAUGAAAUAAAAAUUAAUUACAUUUGAUAACUUUUAUCUCUAACCUAUUGAGACACGCAGGUCUCCAAAUAAAUCGGCUUGUGCACGCAGGCACAAAUAUAGCCAUCUCUAAUACAAAAUUCUUAAUUUAAACAAAUUUAAAAUUAUAGGAUUCUGCAUACACAUCAUACAUCACAUGUCGAAACAAAAAUAAAUAGGUUGCUAUCCAUGAUCAUCACCGUAUCUCAUACAUCACAUGCAUAAUAAUAAAUUUUGGAUAUUCUAAUUAACCGUUAACCGAUGAUUCGAAAGAAUAAAUUAUUAAAAAUAAUCAAUCUUAUUGAUUAUUAUAAUUUUGAUCAACAAUUUAAUCUACAAAAAUAACAUCUUGAUCUCAUCAAGAAAUCAAUUUGAUCUAAUCAAAUUAGAUCCUUUUCUUUUAUUUAAAAAAAUUUUUGCUUUCCGUACGGAUGCUACAGUAGCAUCCGUAUGGACUGCUACAGUAAAAUUCGUGCAGUGUUACAGCAAUUUUUUUUAUUUUUUUAUUUUUUUUUGGGUUGCUUGAAAACAAGAGACCAUCGAUUAAAUUGUUGAUCACUUUGAUCGUUUCGAAUUAGCCAAAAACGAUCGAUAAAUCGUUCUACCGACGGAAAAAUAGUUUAGAAUACCCAAAUUCAUAAUUUUAAUCUUAAGAACAUGAGGAUGGCUCUGAUACCACUGUUAGAAAAUUGCGUACGGUAAAAACGNNNNNNNNNNNNNNNNNNNNNNNNNNNNNNNNNNNNNNNNNNNNNNNNNNNNNNNNNNNNNNNNNNNNNNNNNNNNNNNNNNNNNNNNNNNNNNNNNNNNAAACCCUAACCCUAAUCAUCCCCAGCUGCCCCAGCCGCUUCAGCUCCACCCUGCCCAACCCGUGCGCAUGCCCCGGCCGCCGGCGAGCUACUCCGGCCGCCGGAAAACCCUCCUCGGCAUCUCCCCAUUGCCCUCUCCCUCCUCAUUGCCUCCAUCUUCGACCGUAGAACUCAGGGAAGCUUCAUAACCGCUGAAAGCUCUUCCCUAGGCUGAGACCCAGCUCCGGCGUCCUCCCCCGCCGGCCCCGGCCACCCCGAGCGCCGCCGGAGCCACCCCUGCUCCCUGCGGCCAGCUCGGGUCAGCCCAGACCAAGCCGGCUCGAGCUCUGCGACCACGCCUCCCUUCGGCCGUGCCGCCCUCCUGUCGGCCCCGGCGACCUCUAGCAACCCGGCGCGCGCGUCCCCCGCUGUCCCCGCGUGCCGCCGGCCGCCGCUGGGAUCUCCUACGGCCGCCCAGACGAGUGCGGGCCGAGGUUGGGCCGGCUCGGCUUCCAAGCGCCGCCGCCGCCCACCGGGGGGUGCACCACCUUCCCCUCGGCCUCCGGCACCGUACCGUAUCCGCCCAGGCCUCCUCCGGCCGCCGCCGCGCCGCUAGGAAGCACGAACCCGAGAGGGAGUGGGUGGAGUGGAUCUCAGCCGCCGCGCCACCGGUUGCCGUCCGCCGCCGGCGAGCACCCUCCCCGGACCUCUCGGACCUACUGCUCCCAUCCCCGGCCUGAGUGCCCGCCUCCCGGCCGCCGGCAACCAACCCUAGCUCUCCUUGGGUCCGGUAAGGCUGUUUUUAUAUUCCAGCACAGUAGUUUAGCUUUCCGGCCACCUUUCCGGUGAUCCGAUGACUCCCCGACACCCCGGGAGGUGAGCACGAUGAUCGUGGGCUCGUACUGAACACGAUGCUCACCUCCGUUUGGGUUAAUGGUGCCCGAGUUAGUGAGUUAAGGGCAAUCUUUGCGCUGUGCACGUUGUUCAGCUGAAUUCCGCGUCGCUCGUGCGCGCGUGGCAGUGGCCGGCAGUGCUCCGGAAGGUGAGCACGGCCUCUGGCACACUGAAAUCUAUCAGCGAGAGCGAUGUUUGUCCUAAUCGACCCCUGGUUUGCGUGUACGAUCCAUAAAAGCCAUGAAAUCACAUAAAAUAAUGUGAUUCCAUGUGUCGAUAGGGGCUUUUAUGCCGUUUGCUUCAUCGUAGCUGCUGUUGGCAGCGAGUUAGGGCUGAGGAUAACCUCUGGACUGAUCGUCCAAGGCCCCAAGCCUUUGCAAGUGUCGGAAAGAGAUUUUCGGCGUGUUUCUUGGCGAAAUCCGCCGACGGAACGCGGGAUCGGUUCAGAUUCCUUCCGACAGUGCUUCGUGAUGAAUUGUGUAGUUGCUGAGCCUUGCUGGCUCGUCACCAUCAUCAUUUUGUGGGUUCGGUGAUGAUGGGUGAGCGACGGUGGGUUCCGGUGUCGAAAUAGACACUUUCGGGAACUCGGAUUUGUACAAUUAUCAGGCGAUAAUUGUGUAGUGGUGUUAUCUUGUGUUUCCUGCCAAAACAUCCAAAUUGGAGUGUUUUGGGGCAGCAGGUGACUCGUGACACGAGUCGGUGAGUUUCGGGACACUUAGUGGGUCCCGACGGCGUCCCGAUGUGGUUUUCGGGACUUCCGGCGAGUUACGGUAAUCGGUAUUGGAAAACCGAUCUUCGUGAAAUUGUUUGUGGGGUUGUGGAUACUGUGGUUAUUAGUUGUGGGUUAGAUACUAACCCGGUGGACCCUCUAUAGGUCCUGUCGACAUUCUUUUGCAGUCAGGAGACAGACGCGACAUCCUUACAGGUGGGUACUUCGAUCCGACGUCGGUACAGUGGUGCACGCUUGGUGAUGGUUUCUUACCCUUACUUUUCUGUUGUUAUUAUU
rnacentral:lncRNA from 1 species